rnacentral:misc_RNA from 1 species
UUUUUUUUUAUGAGAAUUCAAUUGAAUUCUUUUCUUGCAAAUGAUUUAUUCCAAUGGAAGCCUUAAUGAACUUUCUCCUUCAAUGACUAUGCAAGUUCUAACAGCAUCUAGCAAAUGAUGUAGAAUAUGAAAUCCAGCUGCUAAGAGAAUAUUUCAAUAGAGCAAGAUACCCGGAAUAAUAGUACAUGAAUACAAUACAAUAAGCGCACAUUUCAAGCCUGUUGCACUGGCAGAAAUGGUUGAUGUCUGCAAUCAAAGACCGUCAAAAAACCGGAUAUGGUCUUCAAAUGUCUCCCCAUGCCGUAUUUUGGC